GUUGACUUGGUAGAGCAUGGCACUUGCAAUGCCAGAGUUGUGGGUUCGAUUCCCAC
rnacentral:tRNA from 1 species